CUUUUUGUACACAGUGUAAUUUUGUAAUUAUAGGCUGAGCUUAUGGGAUAAUUCUAGAUCAUAUCGUGAAAUAUACAUGCUGCAUACUGUAAAUUAUUUUGACCUGCUGUACAUAUUUCAAUGCUGAAACUGUUUAUUUACCUGUUGUGCACAGUUCAGUGCUGAGAAAUAUAGUAUAAUAGUGAUUGAUACAAAGUGAAGUGGAUAUGGCAUACGGUCACCUACUGUUCACAGUGUAUUGCUUGAAUCAUAUGAACUGUAUGCUUACCAGGUAUACACAGUGUAAUGUUAUACAACGUGGUCAUCUGGUGUACACAGUGUAAUACUGUGCAUAAUAGUUAGCUGUGUACACAGUACAAUGUCAUACAACAUUGUUCCCUGGUAUUCAUAGUGUAAUGGUAUACAACAUGGUUAUCUGGUGUACACAAUGUGGUACUGUGCAAAAUGGUUACAUGGUAUACACAGUAUAUAUUUAACAAGGCACCAAAUGUACACAGUGUAACACCAAUAAAGCUUGUAAACCUGUUGUACACUGUUGUGCCAAAAGUUCCCAGAGAAAUUGAGAGGAUGGCACUGUAAGGCUUUGUCAUAAAAUCAUGAUCAUGUGAAAUGAUAAUUUUUGUGUGUGUCAGAAUCAUGACGUGACUGUAAAUUACAUUUAGCAUUCCAUUGAAUAUUUAUCUACCUUCAAGUUAUGUUAUACUACUGGGUUUUAUUUAUCAGAGUUCUUUACUUAUAUAGUUGAAUUAUGAAACAAUCACUCUAAUUUGUAGAAUGUUGUGAAAUUUGACACAGAUAUUUUUUAAUUUGUUGAGACUAAAAUUGAUAGUUUGUGGGUACAGUUUGAAAUUAUAACAUUUAAGUUGUAUUAUAUGUAAGGGAAUUAUGAAAUUGAAAAAAAUGAGAUCAAAUUAAAGAAUGAUUUAUUCAUAUUUAGGAUGUUGAUAUUCAAAAGAAAGAGAGUAAAAUUCUGAGAUAAAGGUGCGAAGAAAUGUAAGCUUUGCCAAUUUGAAAUUAAACCUUUCAGUUACACAUUAAAGUUAUACCUAAAUUGUAUAAGUUCUGUUGUAACAAAUCACCAAGCGAGAAGAUUGCUAAUAUGCCAUGUUUGCAACAAAACAAGUCAUUUAUGAAAUAAAUUGAAUGUUGGAAGCUUAUUUCCUACAUAUAUUUGGCGGCAAUGGGAAAAAAUGAUACUAAGAUGUGAUUUGUAUUACACAUAAUGAUAUUGUAUAUCUGUAAAACUGUGAUAAGUAAAACCCUGUAUUUGUUUUAUAUCGCUGCUCACCUCAGUAUGUUUUACUCAAGUUGAUAUUUUUGGUCUAGUUUUUCAUAAUUUAAAGUUUAUUUUUAAAUUUUAUCGAGCGGAUGUAUUAUCUUUAAGUGAUAUUACCUUUGUUUCUGUUUUUGUUAACAUUUUAAUUUAUGACAUAAGUUAUUAAAAUACUGUUUUAUGAAGAAUAUAUUCGCUAAAAAUGUUUGAUUUUUAAAUUAAUUGUUCUUAACAAUAAUAAAAUGUAAAGAUUGACUUUACUGCUGAGUCUUAGCAUAACAUCUGCUAUUUAAAAAAGUUUUUAUCGUCACAAUAAACCGUGAAAUUAAUAUGUUAAAUGAUAGAAAUAUAUUGACAAACUAAAUAAAAAAAUAAGUUUAAAAGAAUGCUUGCAAACAAUUAACAGGAUUUUAUGUGAAAGUCAAUAUUUGUACAUGUAUUUAGACUUUGUUAGGUAGACAAAUGUGAAGAAUUUCUAUUUAAUAGGGAGUAUUGUAUGGCUAUGUAGAAUUAUCACCAACAUGUUGUAUAUGUUGUUUAUUUAUAUCUGUAUAUAUGUAUGUCAAUGUUUUUGUUAUUUUCCACUCAUCUUCCUCAAACAUUUAUUCAGAAAGAUUUAUGUUUUACAUUUUUUCCUUUAUUAUAUAUAUUCUGUGAUAAAACCCCCAUGAUGUUUUAUAUAUAUAGUAAAAUGCCAUACAUGAUCAAUUCAUGUCAAUAUAUACAUACAUGUAUAUGUCAUAGCUAUAUGUUAAUAAAUGUUAAUCAGUUA